rnacentral:lncRNA from 1 species
UCAAGUUUGGGUGGCUUGGGUUAAGACAAGUCGAUCGUGCUGGUGACCAGCUGACGCUCCAGGUGCAGCAGUUCACGCAAACAUUUCCAACCAGCACCUUUGCCGUGAGCCCAUCCUGCAGCUAAGGGCUACGAUCGAUCUAGUGCAGGAACGUACGGCAGACAGGAGUCAUGCGUAAACUGCGGUGACUUGUCGUUUCGGGCAUGUCUUGACUGCAUUUCAUUAUUGCUCCUUAAUUUUUGAUGCCCUAGUAUAAACAUAUUGCCUGUUCCUGAAGUGUUGUAAUUUGAUUGAUUUUGUAAUAAAAGCUGAAUUUUAUGUCUUGGACUGUGUACCAAAACUACAUGUAAAAGAUCAAUUGCCUCUUGAUUACAUGCGUGUGCUACUUCAAUGGACAUAUAUUUUUCUUAAUUACGACAUCGUCUCAUUUUAGUAUGACAUUCCUCCAGCAAAAGAACAAAACUAGCUGUUAGCUAGAAAUAUCAUUUGAAUUUGACGGAGCUAGUAGAAUGGAAGACAACAUAAUAACACAAUAUAUAUCGAGAACACUCAGCCGCACUAAUCAAUUAAAAUAAUUGCAUGCAUACCCGGCGAAAUAAUUCUUUCUUUCUCUUCAAGUCUGAGCAUAUAUAAGUUCUUGUAACUUGUUCACGUCACGGUGCUAAGAUAAAAUUUUCGUAACUGAUGGAAACAGCUUAUCAUCGUUGCAUGUGACUCCUGCAGAUGCACACUAGCAGCCAACCGGUUACUCCAAAUCUCAUGAAAUUUUAUUUGUCAAAAUCCAUUGUCAACAAUGGUUCGGAUAUUGAACAUCUGAAUUAAAAUACAAACUAUCCAUUCGAGUGUCUGAAAUCUUCAAUCGAACGAACGAAUGGAUAAUAUCCAUACUACUUUCAUCCCUAGUGGAAAGAUAUAUUAAAAUGGGGGAAUAAUAAGGACAUAUGUAUGGGUGCUUUAGAUGUUUCAAGAAUACGCAAGUUACUGAUGCUGUUUCCGAACACUGCCAGAAUCAAGCACUAUUUCCUGAAUUCUCCAAUUUUUCUUUGUUUAUCGCCUUGCCACAAAAAUCGAGCACAGAUAUUCCAACUUUUGCAGCACACCAAGGGGGCAUCAGAAACUUGUGCCGCAAAUUUUUCUUUAUAAAAAACGUAUUUUUGCAAGUAUAUGCUUACUUUCAUGCAAUGGAAUCCAAGCUUGUAUAAUACAAAAUGUAACUAAUUAAACAUAAUAUUAUUUCCAAGAAGCCAAGAACGUGUAGCUGUAACUUGAAAAUUAAUAUUUAAUUUGAAAUCGCAAAUUCCAGAACCAUAUCUUGAGAAUUUCAUGGUUACUAAUGUUGAAAAUGUCAAAUAGACUUGUACAUGAAAAAUCCAUUAUGUCAUAUCCACAAAAUCGGGACUCAAUAAUUCAAGUUAAAAUAGAGUAGCAUUGCAAAACAAACGGAAAAUCAGGCAGCAUUAUGGACGUUGCAAUAGGAACUUUAUUGACAACAAAUAGAAGGAAUUAAAAUGUAGCAUAAUUCCUUUACAUCGUGGACGUUUUGAUGGAAUGCCAUUGCCACAAAAAUAAAUGCAAUUGAAUUCUGAUUAAUUGUGACUUGCAUGGAUGCCUGGUAAUUGGUCUAUAUAACACUGACGCACACAAAGCCACAGGAACCAGAUUAACACUCGAUUAUCCCAUCAGGCUGAGCUUGAUCAUAUACUUGUGCAAGAAACAAACCCAUUCACAGGCAGUAACAAUGUCCAGUCACUUUCUCCUUAUUGUCCUCGUGGCUUCCAUCCUUCAUGUGGCAUAUGCUACAGCAGCAACAACUUCGGCGAACUUGACAGCAGAUGCGGCCGCGACGGCGUACGACAUUCUAGAGAAGAACAACUUACCGCGUGGCCUUCUCCCAAAGGGCGUGCAGUCAUACAAUCUCAGCCCAGAUGGUAAAUUUGAGGUAACCCUUCCUGGCGAGUGCGACUUCCCCGUCACCUUCGGUGGCCAAGAUUUCAAGUUUCGUUUUGCAAGCACAGUCGGCGGCGUCAUCCAAGCUGGAUCCAUCCAUGAGGUGUAUGGCGUGAGGGUGCAGAUCAAGUUUGGGUGGCUUGGGUUAAGACAAGUCGAUCGUGCUGGUGACCAGCUGACGCUCCAGGUGCAGCAGUUCACGCAAACAUUUCCAACCAGCACCUUUGCCGUGAGCCCAUCCUGCAGCUAAGGGCUACGAUCGAUCUAGUGCAGGAACGUACGGCAGACAGGAGUCAUGCGUAAACUGCGGUGACUUGUCGUUUCGGGCAUGUCUUGACUGCAUUUCAUUAUUGCUCCUUAUUUUUUGAUUCCCUAGUAUAAACAUAUUGCCUGUUCCUGAAGUGCUGUCAUUUGAUUGAUUUUGUAAUAAAAGCUGAAUUUUAUGUCUUGGACUGUGCACCAAAACUACAUGUAAAAGAUCAAUUGCAUCUUGA